rnacentral:rRNA from 1 species
AGAGUUUGAUCAUGGCUCAGAACGAACGCUGGCGGCAGGCUUAACACAUGCAAGUCGAACGCACCCUUCGGGGUGAGUGGCAGACGGGUGAGUAACACGUGGGAACGUGCCCUUCAGUUCGGAAUAACCCAGGGAAACUUGGGCUAAUACCGGAUACGCCCCUUGGGGGAAAGAUUGAUCGCUGAAGGAUCGGCCCGCGUCUGAUUAGCUAGUUGGUGAGGUAAGAGCUCACCAAGGCGACGAUCAGUAGCUGGUCUGAGAGGAUGAUCAGCCACACUGGGACUGAGACACGGCCCAGACUCCUACGGGAGGCAGCAGUGGGGAAUAUUGGACAAUGGGCGCAAGCCUGAUCCCAGCCAUGCCGCGUGAGUGAUGAAGGCCUUAGGGUUGUAAAGCUCUUUCGGCGGGGACGAUAAUGACGGUACCCGCAGAAGAAGCCCCGGCUAACUUCGUGCCAGCAGCCGCGGUAAUACGAAGGGGGCUAGCGUUGUUCGGAAUCACUGGGCGUAAAGGGCGCGUAGGCGGCUUUAUAAGUCGGGGGUGAAAGCCUGUGACUCAACCACAGAAUUGCCUUCGAUACUGUAUGGCUUGAGACCGGAAGAGGUAAGUGGAACUGCGAGUGUAGAGGUGAAAUUCGUAGAUAUUCGCAAGAACACCAGUGGCGAAGGCGGCUUACUGGUCCGGUUCUGACGCUGAGGCGCGAAAGCGUGGGGAGCAAACAGGAUUAGAUACCCUAGUAGUCC